rnacentral:rRNA from 1 species
CAAAGGUUUGGUCCUAGCCUUCCUAUUGAUUAUUAACAGAAUUACACAUGCAAGUCUCUACACCCCAGUGAGAAUGCCCUCUAAAUCUAUAUGUUGAUUAAAAGGAGCGGGUAUCAAGCACACUAAAUUAGUAGCUCAUAACGCCUUGCUCAACCACACCCCCACGGGAUACAGCAGUGAUAAAAAUUAAGCCAUAAACGAAAGUUUGACUAAGCCAUGUUAACAAAGAGCUGGUAAAUUUCGUGCCAGCCACCGCGGUCAUACGAUUAGCCCGAAUCAAUAGGCAAACGGCGUAAAACGUGUUAAGGAUUAUAUUAUACUAAAGUUAAAAUUUAACAAGGCUGUAAAAAGCUACUGUUAAUAUAAGAUAAACCACGAAAGUGACUUUAUUACUUCCAUCAACACGAUAGCUGAGACCCAAACUGGGAUUAGAUACCCCACUAUGCUCAGCCCUAAACAUAAAUAAUUAUCACAACAAAAUUAUCUGCCAGAGAA